GGCUUGGUGGUGUAGUGGCUACACGUCCUCAAAGAAUACGAAAUCAACUGCUCCUUCGAAGGAAGUCCCCGGUUCGAGUCUGGGUCAGGCCU